rnacentral:rRNA from 1 species
GUGCCAGCAGCCGCGGUAAUACGUAGGUGGCAAGCGUUAUCCGGAAUUAUUGGGCGUAAAGCGCGCGUAGGCGGUUUCUUAAGUCUGAUGUGAAAGCCCACGGCUCAACCGUGGAGGGUCAUUGGAAACUGGGAAACUUGAGUGCAGAAGAGGAAAGUGGAAUUCCAUGUGUAGCGGUGAAAUGCGCAGAGAUAUGGAGGAACACCAGUGGCGAAGGCGACUUUCUGGUCUGUAACUGACGCUGAUGUGCGAAAGCGUGGGGAUCACACAGAAAGAGAUACCCUUGUAGUCC